rnacentral:pre_miRNA from 1 species
UUUGCAGUAUAAGUAUAUCCCGUGCAACAUUUGGGACAUACUUACACUAAAA